rnacentral:rRNA from 1 species
GCGAACGCUGGCGGCAGGCCUAACACAUGCAAGUCGAACGGAUCCUUCGGGAUUAGUGGCGGACGGGUGAGUAACACGUGGGAACGUGCCCUUUGGUUCGGAACAACUCAGGGAAACUUGAGCUAAUACCGGAUGUGCCCUUCGGGGGAAAGAUUUAUCGCCAUUGGAGCGGCCCGCGUCUGAUUAGCUAGUUGGUGAGGUAACGGCCCACCAAGGCGACGAUCAGUAGCUGGUCUGAGAGGAUGAUCAGCCACACUGGGACUGAGACACGGCCCAGACUCCUACGGGAGGCAGCAGUGGGGAAUCUUGCGCAAUGGGCGAAAGCCUGACGCAGCCAUGCCGCGUGAAUGAUGAAGGUCUUAGGAUUGUAAAAUUCUUUCAGCGGGGACGAUAAUGACGGUACCCGCAGAAGAAGCGCCGGCUAACUUCGUG